rnacentral:rRNA from 1 species
AGUCGACGGGAGGAAGGAGAAGCUUGCUUCUUUUUGAAUCUAGUGGCAAACGGGUGAGUAACACGUAAACAACCUGCCUUCAGGAUGGGGACAACAGACGGAAACGACUGCUAAUACCGAAUGUGUUCCGGAGACCGCAUGAUUUCCGGAAGAAAGGAUGGCCUCUAUUUAUAAGCUAUCGCCUGAAGAGGGGUUUGCGUCUGAUUAGGCAGUUGGUGAGGUAACGGCCCACCAAACCUACGAUCAGUAGCCGGUCUGAGAGGAUGAACGGCCACACUGGAACUGAGACACGGUCCAGACUCCUACGGGAGGCAGCAGUGGGGAAUCUUCCGCAAUGGACGAAAGUCUGACGGAGCAACGCCGCGUGAGUGAUGACGGCCUUCGGGUUGUAAAGCUCUGUGAUCGGGGACGAAUGGCUGGUAUGCUAAUACCAUAUCAGAGUGACGGUACCCGAAUAGCAAGCCACGGCUAACUACGUGCCAGCAGCCGCGGUAAUACGUAGGUGGCAAGCGUUGUCCGGAAUUAUUGGGCGUAAAGCGCGCGCAGGCGGCUUCUUAAGUCCAUCUUAAAAGUGCGGGGCUUAACCCCGUGAUGGGAUGGAAACUGGGAGGCUGGAGUAUCGGAGAGGAAAGUGGAAUUCCUAGUGUAGCGGUGAAAUGCGUAGAGAUUAGGAAGAACACCGGUGGCGAAGGCGACUUUCUGGACGACAACUGACGCUGAGGCGCGAAAGCGUGNGGAGCAAACAGGAUNAGAUACCCUGGUAGUC